rnacentral:rRNA from 1 species
UACGUAGGGGGCAAGCGUUGUCCGGAUUUAUUGGGCGUAAAGAGCGUGUAGGCGGCUAGGUAGGUCCGUUGUGAAAACUCGAGGCUCAACCUCGAGACGCCGGUGGAAACCAUCUAGCUAGAGUCCGGAAGAGGAGAGUGGAAUUCCUGGUGUAGCGGUGAAAUGCGCAGAUAUCAGGAAGAACACCCGUGGCGAAGGCGGCUCUCUGGGACGUGACUGACGCUGAGACGCGAAAGUGUGGGGAGCGAACAGG